AUUGAACGCUGGCGGCAGGCCUAACACAUGCAAGUCGAACGGUAACAGGAAGACGCUUGCUUCUUUGCUGACGAGUGGCGGACGGGUGAGUAAUGUCUGGGAAACUGCCUGAUGGAGGGGGAUAACUACUGGAAACGGUAGCUAAUACCGCAUAACGUCGCAAGACCAAAAAGGGGGACCUUCGGGCCUCUUGCCAUCGGAUGUGCCCAGAUGGGAUUAGCUAGUAGGUGGGGUAACGGCUUACCGAGGCGACGAUCCCUAGCUGGUCUGAGAGGAUGACCAGCCACACUGGAACUGAGACACGGUCCAGACUCCUACGGGAGGCAGCAGUGGGGAAUAUUGCACGAUGGGCGCAAGCCUGAUGCAGCCAUGCCGCGUGUAUGAAGAAGGCCUUCGGGUUGUAAAGUACUUUCAGCGGGGAGGAAGGGAGUAAAGUUAAUACCUGUGCUCAUUGACGUUACCCGCAGAAGAAGCACCGGCUAACUCCGUG
rnacentral:rRNA from 1 species